rnacentral:lncRNA from 10 species
CUUGCCUUCUAAGUAUCUGAUCAAAUCUUAGGCUGUCCUAAUCCAUCACACACAGGAUGUGAAUGAUGUGAAUCAUCCCUUUGUACAGCGUAUCCACAGUGUCUAAGCCACCCCGCCCAUUAGUCACUUAGUAGCUAUCUCAGUUGUCACAUUAACUGUUGGUAUUACAGUGCUGGUGUUCAAAUAACCCUUAUUUUACAUAUUAAUGACCCAAAGUGCAAAAUUA